ensembl:snRNA U2 U2 spliceosomal RNA
AUUGCUUCUCAGUCUUUUGGCUAAGAUCAAGUGUAGUAUCUGUUCUUCUCAGUUUAAUAUCUGAUAUGUUCUUUAUCUGAAGACAAUAUAUUAAAUGGAUUUUUGGAGCUAGGAGAUGAAAUAGGAGCUUGCUUCAUCUACUCUACACAUCAACCUGGUAGUGCAGGAAAGCCAAUAUGACAAGCUUCUC